GUUUUGGCUUUCUAGAGCUCGCCUGUGGCAGCAUUUCUGCAGCCGGAGAGGGAACACCCUUCCCACGGCCGCCGCCUCGGUGCCGGUUGGUGACUCAUAGCACUGGCGAGGGGCGUGGGCGGGAAACCACAUAGGCAUCACCAUGGCAUCUGACAGAUUUGCCCCUGUGGAGCUACUCUGUAAAGAAAAGGGGAAGAGGGGGCCCUUCUCCUCCUGCAAGACACCAGGCUGUGAUGGUGGUGAAGCCCCCAGACUGUCCUGCCAUGAGUCACUCUGAGUCCCGAGAAGUGGUUCCCUUCUCCCUCUCCUGGCUAGGUGUUUCUAAUUGGCAUCUCUGGCCUCCCAGCCUUGGUCUCUGCUCUGAGAUGCAGAGGCUCCAGAGCAUCUGUCCUUUUUCAGUGGCCCCAGUGCACAAGACUCGUUCCCACCCCAGGACCUAUGUAUGUACUACUCCUUCUGCCUGGAACACUCGUGCCCUGCUUUCUUCCAAGAAAAUCCUUCCGAUCAUCCAGGUCACUGCUGAAGAAUGACCUUCCAUCACCCUCUAAUCAAAAGCCACUCCCAUUGUGCUCACAUAGGGUUCUGUACAAGUCUCCCCUUGCACUUAGCCUGGAGUGGUCAUUGUGUAGUUAUCUGUGUGAUGAUGUAAUUUCUGUCUUCUCCACCAGGCUGAGAGCUCCUGUGAGUAGAGAACAUUUUUACUGUAUACGAUUACACCCUCAGAACCUAACACUGCACCUGGUAUACAGACAGUGCUCAACUGAUUGAAUGAGUAAUGGGAACAAGUCAGUGGAUGUAUGGACAUAUAGCCAGAGUGGGACGAGGUGGGGCACAGCUGCCUUUCAUGAGACAUGUGCUAUGUUGCAUGGCAUCAUACUGGUUAACCCCCCAGCGGUCCCCUGGCAUUUAAAUAAGUGAAUCCCUGCAAUGCCUGGCACAGGGGAGUGGAUCAGAAUGUGUCAGCUAGUAUUAUCAUUAUCCUCAUUUUACAGAUGAAGAAGUUGAGGCUCAGAGAGGUGAAGUGAUUUGCCCAAGGUCACUGAUAACGGUUUGGUUGUGUCCCCACCCAAAUCUCAUCUUGAAUUGUAGCUCCCAUAAUUCCCAUGUGUUGUGGGAGGGACCUAGUGGGAGAUAACUGAAUCAUGGGGGCAGUUUCCCCCAUACUGUUCUCACGGUAGUGAAUAAGUCUCACAAGAUCUGAUGGUUUUAUAAAGUGUUUCCCCUUUUGCUUGGCUUUCAUUUUCUCUUGCCUGUCACCAUGUGAGACGUGCCUUUUGCCUUCCGCCAUGAUUGUGAGGCUUCCCAGUCAUGUGGAACUGUAAGUCCAUUAAAACUCUUUCCUUUAUAAA
rnacentral:lncRNA from 1 species